rnacentral:rRNA from 1 species
AGGCCUAACACAUGCAAGUCGAGCGCUGUAGCAAUACAGAGCGGCGCACGGGUGAGUAACACGUGGGAACGUGCCCUUUGGUUCGGAAUAACUCAGGGAAACUUGAGCUAAUACCGGAUAAGCCCUAACGGGGAAAGAUUUAUCGCCGAAGGAGCGGCCCAUGUCGGAUUAGCUAGUUGGUGGGGUAAAAGCCCACCAAGGCGACGAUCCGUAGCUGGUUUGAGAGAACGACCAGCCACACUGGGACUGAGACACGGCCCAG